UCUACCAGGGUUCGAUUCGAGCGCAGCGAGAAAGCGUUGCCGCAGGCAACGGCCCGAAGGGCGAAGCGCGCAGCGCUGAGUAAUCUCUCCCCCACCACCA
rnacentral:sRNA from 1 species